UACGAAGGGGGCUAGCGUUGCUCGGAAUCACUGGGCGUAAAGCGCACGUAGGCGGCUUUUUAAGUCAGGGGUGAAAUCCUGGAGCUCAACUCCAGAACUGCCUUUGAUACUGAGAAGCUUGAGUCCGGGAGAGGUGAGUGGAACUGCGAGUGUAGAGGUGAAAUUCGUAGAUAUUCGCAAGAACACCAGUGGCGAAGGCGGCUCACUGGCCCGGUACUGACGCUGAGGUGCGAAAGCGUGGGGAGCAA
rnacentral:rRNA from 1 species